UUCUGCACCUAUUGCUUUUGAGCAUGGCUAUCUGAAGUAUAGCCACAUCAAUUAAUAAUGGCCGAUGAGCUUUUAAUUACAGACCUCGGUAAUUGGCUGGUUAAAGGAAGAUUGGCAUCAGUAACUGAGUUCUUUUUGUUCAAUCCAUUUUGGGACUGCAACUAUAUUAGGCAUACAUCCAUGCCCCCAUGAAACUGUAAGGGACUGGAAGGAGGCAGUGUGUCCCGUGAAUCCUCAUGAACCAUCCCAGUCUUUCUUACUCCCCUGCACGUCCUCUUCAUUUACACAGAGAUAUCAACCAGGAUAUGGCAUUGCAUUGGAUCCCAACCAGGAUAUGACGUUACAUUGGAUCCCAACCAGGAUAUGGCAUUGCACUGGAUCCCAACCAGGAUAUGGCAUUGCACUGGAUCCCAACCAGGAUAUGGCAUUGCGUUGGAUCCCAACCAGGUUAUGGCAUUACAUUGGAUCCCAACCAGGUUAUGGCAUUGCAUUGGAUCCCAACCAGGAUAUGACAUUGCAUUUACUCAUCACGCCUCCUUAGGUUCCUCUUGGCUGUGACGGUUUCUCAGACUAUCCUUGUUUUUUAGGACCUUGACAGUUUUGAGGCAUACUGGAGAGCUCAACGUGGGCGUUUCUUUCUGUAACAAGUAUGCAUCAUGGCUGGCUGACUCCUCCCCAUAACAAGCAGUUUAAAGGUGAACGGAAAUGGAUCUUGGCGAUAGCAGCUUUUGGAAGCCUAGGCGCGGCACAGAAGGUCAGACAGGAAUGGCUUGUCUUCCACUACAACAUGGGGCUUCAUCGGAAGCACCGCUGCUGAGGAACAACCACCUCCUCCUGACCAUCGCAAGCUGCCCAGGAAGACAUGCUCAUAGCAGUGUCCGUUUCCCUGCCUAACUUUCCACCAGAAGAUUCCUUCAUGUCUACGGGCGGACCCAGGCCGAUCUUGGAAUGCAUGUUUAAGUAUUGGAAAACCCAAGCAUUGACUCUCCAGACCAGCCUCGCACCUAAGAACGCCGUGGGAUGCAGUUUCAGACAGUGAGAAAUCUGCUGGGGAUGCCUGGGAAAGGGACAUACCUGGCAGGUGCCGCUCCAUGGCCUUCUUGCUGCCUUGAAUUGGGACAUGAGCCUGAGUCGCAGCAGCCGUCUUGUGACUGAGAGGUGGCAAGCAGGAGGAAGAGGCUAAGAGAAUAGAGACACUGUUGAGCUGCUGAAGCACAGCAAGCGGCCACUUCUCUAUGCUUCUUGCUAUUUGACUGUUAAGCUAGUGCAAGUUACUUUUCUGGUCAGAAUGAAUUCAUAACUGAAACAUGCUUUAAAGUAUGACUAUUAUUAUUAAAUGCAGCAUAAGCUUUCCAUAGCUGCUACACGAUCACACCCACUGCUGUCUCAGACUGACCAGUGGCCGACUAAACAUGACAGCAAGUACUGUUGCCAGCCUCUGCCUUCUUAUACUUGUGGAGUUUGUUUAAAUCUAAAUUCAGGACUCACCCUGUUAAAUUUUAUCUCCUUAGCUUGUCCCCUUCUUUUCAGAGAUUUGCAAUUCAAAUUAGUAUUAUAACCUCAAUUGAUAUAUGGCUGUGGACCAGUCAGGAAUCAUUGAAUCAUCCCCCACUUUGGAAAGCAUAAGAGGCUGUAAUUGCAUUUUAUAUCAACCCUCUC
rnacentral:lncRNA from 1 species